CCGUGUCAGCAGUGGCACCGGGUGGCACAAUGAGACACACUGUAAACAGCCACCCAGCAUUAUAACAGAAGAAGCUGGAUUUUCCAGGAAAAUCAGAAGCAAAAGCUGCCUCUACUAAUGUUCCAGACAUGAAGAAAGAGGUCACUGCUGGCUUGAAUAAUGAAGGAUCGGUUACAGAAAAAGAACAUUCUGAGAAAUGGAAAGCAACCAUGGCAGUCACUGGAAGAAGAAGCAGGGAUGGAAAGGAAGACUUGAACAGCAAUGGAGUGAUGAUCCGCUAGACAAGCAGGAAAUAGUGAUCAGAAUAACUGUCAGAAUAACUAUUUGUUGCUUCUUUACAAAAUAUUUCUGAGAAAGAAUCAAAGAAAUUGUUCUUGUUGCCUGUGCAGUUGAAGAACUAUUUGUUGUUUCUUAAAAAUAACAACAAUCAUGUAUCUGGGACAUUACCGUUGC